AUUAAUUGCUUCUAGGGUUCCGGUUUGCUGCAAAUUGCUGAAAACGCCAGGUCCGAGAGAAGCAAGCUAUCCUGGAUUCAGAUUUUAGGAAUCCGUUCUUCAAAAAGGGUAGCUACACGGCGGGAAAAAAGCCCGGGAGAA
rfam:Planktothrix agardhii NIVA-CYA 126/8 chromosome, whole genome shotgun sequence.